GACGAACGCUGGCGGCGUGCCUAAUACAUGCCAGUCGAACGCAUUUUCUUUCACCGUAGCUUGCUACACCGAAAGAAAAUGAGUGGCGAACGGGUGAGUAACACGUGGGUAACCUGCCCAUCAGCGGGGGAUAACACUUGGAAACAGGUGCUAAUACCGCAUAAUUCCAUUUACUGCAUGGUAGAUGGAUGAAAGGCGCUUUUGCGUCACUGAUGGAUGGACCCGCGGUGCAUUAGCUAGUUGGUGGGGUAACGGCCUACCAAGGCUGCGAUGCAUAGCCGACCUGAGAGGGUGAUCGGCCACACUGGGACUGAGACACGGCCCAGACUCCUACGGGAGGCAGCAGUAGGGAAUCUUCGGCAAUGGACGCAAGUCUGACCGAGCAACGCCGCGUGAGUGAAGAAGGUUUUCGGAUCGUAAAACUCUGUUGUUAGAAAAGAACAAGGAUGAGAGUGGAAAGUUCAUCCCUUGACGGUAUCUAACCAGAAAGCCACGGCUAACUACGUG
rnacentral:rRNA from 1 species